rnacentral:rRNA from 1 species
GUUGUAUAGUCAAGUAAUUAAGUGCAUGUGGUGGAUGCCUUGGCAGUCAGAGGCGAUGAAAGACGUGAUAGCCUGCGAAAAGCUCCGGGGAGGCGGCAAAUAUCCUUUGAUCCGGAGAUGUCUGAAUGGGGGAACCCACCUACUUUAAGGUAGGUAUUGCAACAUGAAUACAUAGUGUUGCAAGGCGAACGAGGGGAAGUGAAACAUCUCAGUACCCUUAGGAAAAGAAAUCAAUUGAGAUUCCCUCAGUAGCGGCGAGCGAACGGGGGUCAGCCCAUUAAGUUAUGUGUGUUUUAGUGGAACGCUCUGGGAAGUGCGAACGUAGAGGGU